GCUUAAUAUGAGUAGUACUACACGUACCUCUGCGCAAAAUAUAAAUUUGUUUUCCUUAUAAGUUAUCAUUUUUAAAGUAACUUUUAACUAAAUAUCAAGGUCGUCACAAGGUGAGCUUGGUCCUCACUGGUUCCUGUUUCAUGCCUACACGUGUGUCUGUACAUAUCAUUUUAUUCAUUCUAUUAUUUAUUAUAUAUUUCAUUGUACUAUAUUAUAUUGUUUUUUAUUAUUAUAUUUAUUGUUAUUAUUAUUAAUUUGUCAUCAAUAAUAAUAACAUAUAUUAUUUUUAUAGAUGUGGAUAUUAUUAUUGUUAUUAGAAGAGAAAUAUUCUACUUCCUGCAGUAUUUCGAAGAUAGAAGAGCAUAACUGACACUCUACAUUAACUGUUAUUUUAUAUAUUGUUUUAUAAUAUAUUAUAUUAUAUUAUGUUAUAUUAUAUUAUUUUGUAAUCUACUAUAUCAUUUUAUGUUAUAUUAAUUUCAUUACACUAUGGUUCAUUGUAUUCAUCAAUAUAAAACAUUUUGCACGGGGUCGUAAAGGGGAGGGAGCAUCAGGGCAUCGGACGAAUUGAUGACUGGACGAGGGAUUGUGGAUAGCCAGCCCAAGUCACUUGAAGGAAACUUGUUUUCUUCUGAAGGUUUGAAAUGAGUCUGACGCGCCCUUCUUAAACAAACCAUCAGGCGGGUUCAAGCAUGUAUAGCGAUAUGCUUCAUCCAUGCACUGGAUAUUAUGGUUGGAAGAGCAUCUUUUAUUCCCGCGGAAUACGAGUAAGUGACUCUACUUACAUAUUCGCCCAACCCUUUUUGUUCGCUUUUCGGUAACAGCUAUAGUAAGAAGGUGAAUGGAUGAGUCAUAUCGGGGCUACUGUAAGUCUACCCGCAUCCACUGGAAAGUCCUUGAACUGAUGGUGGCUUCACUUCACAUCACAUCACAUCAUUUGUUAGUGUUAUUUCAAGAUCAUGAUAACGAUGCUUUUCUAUAAAAGUACACUUAUUGCCUUUCUCAUAUAGAAAGUUUAUGCAAUCUCUUGAAAAAUUGUCCCCGAGGGCUAAGUGAUCUAUAUCAUUCGACACAGUUCAUCAAGCUGAGCAAUGUAUGUGUCUGUGCGUGUAUGUGUGUGAAAAUGUGUCAAGUAAUGUCACUCAUAAAAUAAAAUAUCUCAUAGUCCCAAAGGUUACUAUAGAAUUUCACACCGUCAUUUAGAGCGACGAUGCAAGAAACGGUAAAAUUCUUCUUGAUUUGGCUUUGAACUGUUUCAAUUUGUAGGUUAUAUUAGUUACUUACUAAACGACCCGACUUCGCCUACAUUGGUUUCAAGUUUCCGGUUCCAAAAGUACCGGAAAUAAUACCCAAAAAGUUUAAAAUGAGACUCACUCAAUUUUUUCAGAGAUAAUUUGAUCGAUUUCCACAAACAGGCUCAAAUUAAAGUUCCAAUAGUUUCAAUUCAUCCGAAUCCGACUUCCGGCUCCAGAACUAUUGGGUAAAGUGUGUUUAAUCAUUUAGUGCGACGAUGCAAAAUAAAAAAAAAAUAUUCUUAUUAACUUGGCAUAACUUUUAACAAAUUGUAAAAUCUUUAUUUUUACGUUUCGUCUUUGACUCAUCAGUGCAGAGCAGUUCAAAUUGAACUAUACUUAAUCCACCUAGUGGUGUGAUAAAGCCUUUCUCUUCUUUCAUCUCAUGAAAAUAUAUUUCAUACUUUUGAUAAAUAAUUUCGGAUACUAAUUUUGACACCAAUUGAUUCAGAUUGAUUCGAGUAGUUCACAAAAGCAUGCUUCAGUGUUUAUGUCACACAGUCAGCAUCAUUUUUCCAAACUAGUGCUUGACAUUUGCGUUACCUAUUUGUAUGAGAACAGUUAUGCUAAUCUAAAAAAAUGGAGCGCGUAUAAAUAUCUUCGAAAAGUGCACACACACAUCGAAAAAAAAGUGAUGCCAAAAGGCUUAGAAUUGCAUGAAACGUCGAGAUUUAGUGUCAUCUCAAAAAAAAAAUUUUUUUUUCGAAAAAUCGACUUUUGGGACUUAGAAAAAAUAUCAAAGUUCCAGAAAGUUGAUUUUUUCAAAAAAGUUUUUUUUUGAGAUGACACUAAAUCUCGACGUUUCAUGCAGUUUUAAGAGUUUUGGCAUCAAAAAUAAUUUUCGAUUUUGGAAAUUUCAUGUCUCCCCCCUAUAUAUGGUGCUUUUUCAAGAUCGAAAAUUUUCAAACCUUUACCGCCGGGCAGCACCCGUUACGCAUGUCCGAUUUAGCUCAAAUUUUGCAUGAGGACAUUUUUCGAGGUGCCUAAACUUUUGAGCACUAGAGCUUUACGAAAUUAGAGGUGAUCCCAAAAUAUUGGCACCCUUAUAUAUAUAAGAGAGGUAAAAAUCAACGUGUUUUAUCGGUUACGUCACUUAUACAAUCAUAUCUACGGAACCAAAAGUCACAGCCAUUUGAUCUUUGAACUUGAUCAAUGGCCCGACAGUAGCUUUCAAACGAGCCCAAGUUUGUUAAAAUCGGUUCAGCCAUCACUGAGAAAAGUGCACACACAUGCACACACACAUACAUUUUCCGAUCUCGUCGAACUGAGUCGAAUGGUAUAUAACACUAUGUGUCACAACCCGGUGGGUUAUGGCGCACCUUAUUUCAACCGUCUUGAUUCGUGCGAAACCUAAUUUCAACCCUGUUCCCCAAUGAACUGUCAUCUGUCGUUAGUGGAAGGAGAAUAGCGUGAGUAAGCAGUGAGUACACAUGUGGUUUGUAGGUGAGGGAAAUUAAGAGUUAAAAUGAAUUGUUUUUUCUUAAUAUUAAUUUGUUAUUCUACUUAAACUUAACUUAGAAUAGUCAGUGCAGUGUAAAACAUUAUGAAUUGAUUUUCUAAAACUAUACAGAUACAAGGUAAAACAUAAGAAUUCACAUGCAAACUUAACCUAAAACAUAAAUGAUUUACAGCUAAUAGUACGGAUUGCUGAUCAGUACAGUAAAACUCUCAGAAGUACGGAAUUGUUAGUACGGACGAAUUGAUUAUAGAAAAGACUAAACGUAAGUAAUUUGUAAACACUUAUUAACUUAAAAUGUAUACACUGUUAGUUAUAUUUAUGAUGUCUGCUAUGAAGUUGAUUAAUUUGAAUAUCAUUGAAUAAUUCUCCCCAAGGGAUUUUAUAACUCUCUCUGUCUCUAUUGGAAAUAAACGAGUUACAAAACCGGAAAGCUUUCUGUUCGUCCGAUUGCUAGCGCAACAUUUUAUAAAAUCCGUUUACGAUCGGGGGCUUUAGUCGGUAUGUCGAAAAGAAGUGACGGUCAAAGGCGCGGAAUUUCUCCCACGAAAAUCAGUUCGCUCUCGGAAGUGAGCUGCGAAAUAUGUCAAAAGCCAGAUAACAGUUGUAUGGUAGCAUGUGAUACGUGCGGGCAGUGGUUUCAUUUUGUGUGUGUUGGUGUGAAUUCAAGUGUUCAGGAUGAGGAUUGGAACUGUAAGAAAUGUCUUGAAACGGUAACACAACCCCCAGCCGGCACUACACCAAAUACCAGUACUGGAGCGGUACCAAAACCUGCGCCUGCGGAGCCAAAUCUGGAGAAAUUAGUACAGAACCAGUUAACAGCGAUGCAGGCAAGAUUCGAACGAAUGAUGAAGGAAAGGGAUGAGCAACGUAUGAAGGAACUCAGAGAUCAACGGAAGAAAUACGAUCAGGAGUUGAAAGAUACAGAGCGACGUGUACUAGAGCAAGUUGAAAAGCAACAUCGGAUGAUGAACUCAGGUGGUGGCAAGCAGACAACGACUUCGGCUGAUCAGCCCGCACUAAUGAUGCAUGGAGGCGGAUCGAAAGCGGACUCGGCUGGUUGUCAAAACAUACACCCACUGGGAAGUGAGUCAACUGGAGCUUAUGCUGGGAAUCAACCAACGCAAUGGGCGCUCGGGCCGACUGCUAGCUCAACGUUAAAUCCUCUACCACAAAUCAACGUUUACGAGACCAGCCAGAAUGACGAAGUUCUAGCACAGCAGUUAAUGCUGUUGGAAGAGAAACAGGCAUUAGAUAAAAAACAUCUGGAAGAGCGAAUCCAGCUUCUACAACGGCAUGCGAUGGUCGACGGAGGGGCAGCUGGUGGCACUGGGCUGAACCCUCAGGCGACAGCCUUUCAAUCGAAUAGUUGUGGUUUCGGCGGAGUGUCUUCGCUAAGUCAUAGUCAAAUUUCGGCUCGUCAAGCUGUUAACAAAGAACUUCCGUCUUUCUCUGGAAAUCCAGAAGAAUGGCCACUUUUCUUCGCAAGCUACGAGAAUUCGACCAGAAUUUGUGGGUACAGCGAUGAAGAGAAUAUGCUGCGGUUACAACGAAGUCUCAAGGGGAAGGCUUUGGAGUCUGUUCGUUGUCGUUUGUUACAUUCUACCAAUUUAUCCGGUGUUCUAGCGACAUUGAAAACUCUCUUCGGAAGACCUGAAAUUAUUGUGCAUUCUUUAGUCAACAAGAUCCGGGAAAUGCCAUCUCCGAAGGCGGAAAAGCUUUGCUCGUUAAUUGAUUUUGGCGUUGCAGUUCAGAAUGUCUGUGCCACCAUAAUAGCUUCAGGUAUGGAUGAAUACAUGUGUAACGUGGCGUUACUCCAGGAGUUGACAGAGCGAUUACCGCCAGCCAUCAGAUUGAACUGGGCGUACCAUAGACAGGGAUUGAGUCGAGUGACACUUUCUGAAUUUGGAGAUUGGCUGGGGAAGUUGGUUGAAGCAGCUAGCAUUGUGACGAUGCCGUCGAUCAAUGCUUCGAAACCAGAGCGACGUGGAAGGAAGGAUGACAAUUUCAUCAACGUACAUUCAGAAAGCAAUUCUUGUAUGGAGACAGUAUCAAAAAGCACCCCAGCACCGAAGGGUUGUCUCGUGUGUUCUAGCGAGUGUAGCAGUGCGAACAAAUGCAAGAAAUUCUUAGCAAUGGACGUCGGAUCUCGUUGGACAGUCGUUAAAGAGCGACGGUUGUGCAGAAAGUGCCUACGAAAACAUUUCGGGGCGUGUCAGAUUAAAACUCCAUGCGGAAGGAACGGAUGUUCGUUUAUGCAUAAUGAGCUGUUGCAUGACAACAAGCGGUACAGUAAGUCUGGAAUUUCUGAAUCAAUGAAUCCAUCGGGGGUAAACCCAACUCCGCAGAGUUGCAAUACGCAUACGAAGAUAGCGGAAAAGGUUUUGUUUCGGUAUGUUCCUGUGACUAUUUACGGUAAGGGCAAACAAGUGACUACAUACGCCUUUCUCGACGACGGAUCGUCUGCGACCUUGAUUGAGCAUGAUUUGCUGAACGAGCUAGGUCUUAAAGGAGCUCCGCAUCCCUUAUGCCUCAAUUGGACGGGUGGCCAGCAACGAGCAGAGAACGAUUCUGUCUUGUUGUCUCUAAAGAUUUCUGGUGUGAACGAUUUCAGCGAUGUGUUCGAGUUACCAGGAGUGCACACUGUCCGAUACCUUUCCCUUCCUAAGCAGUCGGUCUCAGUUACGCAGUUAGCAAGGAAAUACAGUUAUCUUGAAGGAUUGCCAAUAGAGUCGUAUGAAAAUGUUUCUCCUCGAAUGCUUAUUGGAAUGAAUAAUUGUAGAUUAGGCCACGCCUUGAGAAGCAUAGAAGGUGGCGAGAAUGGACCAGUAGCAUCUAAAACUCGUCUUGGGUGGAUGGUCUACGGACCUUGCGCGAUGGAGUCUGGAGCGAUAAAUUCCGACUAUAGUGGUUGCCACAGUUUCCACAUAUGUCCGUGUGUCAAGGAAAACGACAAAGAGUUGAAUACUACUCUGAAAGAGUACUUUUCGAUCGAGUCUCUAGGAGUAUCAGGCUCACGUCAGUCACUGCCGUCGAAAGAUGAAGAACGAGCGAUGAAAAUUUUGUCCACAGAAACGCGUUACGUCGGAAACCGCUACGAGACCGGAUUGUUGUGGCGCUACGAUCGAAUACAGCUACCUGAUAGCAAGGGAAUGGCUAUGAAGCGUUUGGAAUGCUUGCAAAAGCGUAUGGCGCGAGAGCCCGAGAUGGCAGCGGCGAUGCGUGCAAAGCUAUGCGACUAUAUAGAGAAAGGCUAUAUUCGUCGACUUUCAGCAGAGGAAAAGAUAGAGAAGCAUGCCAACGACUGGUAUUUACCGAUAUUUCCAGUUAUCAACCCGAACAAACCGGGCAAGGUACGGAUUGUGUUCGACGCAGCCGCGAAAGUCAAUGGAGUGUCGCUGAACUCAUUCCUUCUAACGGGACCUGAUCAGUUGACAUCACUGCUUGCCGUUCUGUACAAGUUUCGUGAGUACCGUGUUGCUGUUGUAGGAGACAUUCGUGAAAUGUUCUUCCAAGUUCAGAUGAAGAAACAAGACCAACGUAGUCAAAUGAUUCUGUGGAACGACGGGAAUUCGGAAGUUGAUCCUGAAGUCUACGUGGUAGCAGUUAUGACGUUUGGUGCGGCGUGUUCUCCUAGUUGCGCACAUUACGUUAAAAACCAAAACGCUGAUAGAUUCGAGAAACAAUAUCCCCGUGCGGUCGAGUGCAUAAAGUAUGAGCAUUAUGUUGACGACAUGUUGGCGAGUGUUGAAACCGAGGAAGAAGCUGUAAAACUAGCUAGAGAAGUUCAAUCUAUUCAUAUUCAAGGAGGCUUCGAGAUACGCAAUUGGCUAUCAAACUCCCGUUCUGUAGUAGAGCGAAUGCUUGAACAUACCAACACGGAAAAGGAUAUGAAUUUCACCGCAGAAAUGGUAACGGAAAAGGUGCUUGGGAUGUGGUGGGACACCACGAGUGACACGUUCACCUUUAAGCUCUCUCCAAAGCACGAUGUGCAACUGAUUUCCGGAGCUAGAAUGCCUACAAAGCGAGAAGUUCUGAGAACGUUGAUGGCGAUAUACGAUCCUAUGGGAUUGAUUGGCAACUUCCUCAUCUAUCUGAAAAUCUUGCUGCAAGAAAUUUGGCGAUCUGGUUGUAGUUGGGACGAUGAGAUCGAUGGAAGGUUGGCAGAAAGAUGGAAAACAUGGAUCAGAGCGCUUCCGAACGUCGUGCAAAUCAGAAUUCCUCGCUGCUACCGAGUCGUGACGUCUGCAGGACCGAGUAAUAAUGUUGAGUUGCACAUCUUCUGCGAUGCCAGUGAGAAUGGGAUGGCUGCUGUUGCUUACUUUAGAUUCGAGGAGAAUGGAACAGUUGAGUCUUCACUGAUCGGAUCAAAAACCCGUGUAGCCCCGUUGAAAUAUUUGUCGAUACCACGUCUGGAGCUGCAGGCUGCAGUAAUAGGGGCACGUCUUGCCGAAUGCAUUGUUACAUCACAUAGAUUGAAAGUUGUUCGUCGCACCUUCUGGACCGACUCUCGUGACGUGAUCUGCUGGUUGCGAUCUGAUCACCGGCGUUACAGUCAAUUCGUGGCAUUCCGAAUCAGCGAGCUAUUGGAUACAACGGAGGUAAAUGAGUGGAGAUGGUUGCCGACCAAAGCGAAUGUAGCAGACGAGGGUACGAAGGUACUCCAACACAAAAUGGACGUUCAAUCCGCCAGCUGCUCCACACUUUGGUGGUUGUUGGGAGCGUCUGAUCCAGUCGAUCAAGAAAAUCAUGAACGACUUCAACCCGCCACGUCUACCAUCUGAUGAAAUUUUGCGUUCUAUGUUAAUGGAGAUCGAAAUGAUAUUGAAUUCAAGACCGCUCACUGACAUACCGCUAGAAAACGAUUCUGAAGCCCCCCUUACGCCGAAUCACUUUCUGUUGGGUUCAUCUAAUGGGAGUAAGCCCCCGAUCAAGUUCGAUGAUAAGCCUACUGUACUGAAGCAAUCGUGGACGAUGUCGCAGCUGUAUGCCGACUACUUUUGGAAGAAGUGGGUGAAUGAAUACUUGCCUACCUUGACGCGCAGAACGAAAUGGUUCCAACCAGUGAAACCAAUCCAGGAAGGCGAUCUAGUAUUGGUUGCGGAUGGUAAUCUUCCAAGGAACUGUUGGCCUCGAGGACGGGUAAUUGAGGCCACUCAAGGCAAAGACAGACAAGUUCGUCGUGUUACUGUGCAGACGGCAAGCGGACUUCUGCAGAGACCAGCGACCAAGGUUGCAGUAUUGGACAUCGGUGCUAACGGUGGUAAGUCACUUGUUCGACAGUGACGUACCGAGGGGGAGUGUCACAACCCGGUGGGUUAUGGCGCACCUUAUUUCAACCGUCUUGAUUCGUGCGAAACCUAAUUUCAACCCUGUUCCCCAAUGAACUGUCAUCUGUCGUUAGUGGAAGGAGAAUAGCGUGAGUAAGCAGUGAGUACACAUGUGGUUUGUAGGUGAGGGAAAUUAAGAGUUAAAAUGAAUUGUUUUUUCUUAAUAUUAAUUUGUUAUUCUACUUAAACUUAACUUAGAAUAGUCAGUGCAGUGUAAAACAUUAUGAAUUGAUUUUCUAAAACUAUACAGAUACAAGCUAAUAGUACGGAUUGCUGAUCAGUACAGUAAAACUCUCAGAAGUACGGAAUUGUUAGUACGGACGAAUUGAUUAUAGAAAAGACUAAACGUAAGUAAUUUGUAAACACUUAUUAACUUAAAAUGUAUACACUGUUAGUUAUAUUUAUGAUGUCUGCUAUGAAGUUGAUUAAUUUGAAUAUCAUUGAAUAAUUCUCCCCAAGGGAUUUUAUAACUCUCUCUGUCUCUAUUGGAAAUAAACGAGUUACAAAACCGGAAAGCUUUCUGUUCGUCCGAUUGCUAGCGCAACACUAUGGGUCUCCGAGGCUCCGUUCGAAAGUCGGUUUCUCCAGCAAUUCUAAUACCUUUCUAUAGAGAAAGGCAAAAAUCGUAUGGUAACUUAACUGAGAAUUUUGAAAAUUGCUCUAUUCGUGCUGCUAAUCGAUUACAAAUACUCUGUUAUUGAUGCCAUUCAAUCGAUCAAUUCAAUAAUCGAGUAAAUAAAGCUAGGGGACUGACUGAUGCUAACCAAGGCUGGUUUAUUGCUGAUUUUUUUUUUACAAAUUUAAACUGUUUAUGUUGGAAUUUUAGAAAGAACUGGUUUGUAACCAAUUCUAUGUACCCGAAAAGCUUAAAGUUUUAGAUAUCAAAAGUUUUGCAGAAGUUAUUUUUCAUACUAACUCUAAAUAAAAACAGCAUGAAAACGUGCAAUAUCGCAGAAGAAGAAAAAGAGUUCAGUUUAGUUCACUUUUUCUCACUCAAUUCCGGGGGACUCGGACUAAAGUUUGCAUUGAUUUGGAAUUCAUUCCGAACUGGAUAUGUGGGAUGCGAUUUCAUCUUUUACAUUUCGAUUUUCCGUUACAACAAAAGUCCGAAAUACAAAAAAAAAAAAAAACAAAAUGAACGACAACUCACAACUCAGAAGAUGGAUAUUAUUUUUUUUAUGAAACAUAUUGUUAAUUGGAAUAUUUGUUGUUCAAGUUGUAGCCAUCGAACUGCAUAAUUGAAUUUGUGACAUCCACUUCCACGCUGGGAUUUCAGCUUGUGCUGGUAU